GCCAUUUCUAAAUUUCUAUCGCCAGCGACAUGUCACAUGUGAUCGUCUGAUACGUUGUCCGGUCUUUUGUAACUUAAGUGUCCAAACAACUAAUUACAUUGAGGUGAUGCGUCAAUUUGGGAAUUCAGAUGUCAGCAGUUGGUUGAGAAACUCAUAAAAUGGAUCACAAUUCUAUUUCCCCGUUCGUCUUUGGAAUCCUGGGUUGCUAAGUGUUUACGGAACAUUCUCGUCCGCUCAGGCCACAAAUCUAUCCACAUCGAACACGGAGCCGAUUGUCGUGUUGUACAUAGAAAUGCUUGAAGAUGAAAUCGAUUAGAUGCAUGUUGGAGUGAUGUUCCAGAAAGCAGCAUUCCAGAGGCAAAAAACUACGUUAAAAAGCUGAUCAACACAAUGUAUAUUGUUUUCUUUCCUUCAUGGUGAAAUUGAAUUAAAUUGGAAAUCGAAAGCUAUAGAAGCAAUUUGUCGACCAGUUUGAUGGAACUUGUGGAAGUUGCCGAAAUGUCAGAACGGAGUAAUACGCAAAAUCUGAAAUACAGUCGAAAAACUGUUUACAUGUUGUGAAUACGAAGAGCGUCUGUUUGCAGUUCCAGAAAUUUUAAGGUUUGGGGCAUAGUAAAGGCUGUAGAUGAUGGAAUUUGCAUUUCAAGUAAAAAUCGUGUGUUAAGUACUUAUUGCCUGUCGACUGUUAAAUAACAGUUUGAGUUAAUAUGUCUUAAAAAUGAUUGCUUCUUAGAUACUAAAAGUAA